UGUUGUUUUACUAUAAUUCAGUACACAAGAUGCAAGUAAUGUGAAUAAUCUGUCUCUCUUGUGCAGUUUAUAAGAAACAUUCAUGACAUGAUGGCAAACAAAUUUUACCAAUUUCCUUCAAAUGAAAGGUCUUUCUCUCUCAAAGAUAAAAUGGGAUUCAUUACACUCAAAAAGAAUGGGAAAGCUCUUGAUCUAUUUGCAGAUGAGGUCACAACAGACCGUAUGCAAGCCAUUCAGGAAGCUUAUUGGACUAUGGCAUCUGCCUUACUGCCAUCUAGUCCAUGAUUCUAGCACAAGUCUUAUGGCUCUGAGAACUAUCAUCUAACAGUUUUCACUAGGAUGUAACUAUCUUACAACGAUGAGUCUCGAAGCUUCAAUGCAGCUAUUUGGUGAUGCUAAGGCCAAAUAUCUAAAUCCUUAUCUAUUUCAUCCCGGUUUCUCAUAAGUGUUCUUGGUGACAUCGUACUACUAGUUUUAGUGAU